GUCCACGCCGUAAACGAUGAGAACUAGGUGUCGAGGGUGUUGACCCCCGCGGUGCCGAAGCUAACGCAUUAAGUUCUCCGCCUGGGAAGUACGGCCGCAAGGCUAAAACUCAAAGGAAUUGACGGGGCCCGCACAAGCGGUGGAGCAUGUGGUUUAAUUCGACGCAACGCGCAGAACCUUACCUGGUCUUGACAUCCUUCGAAUCUGCUAGAGAUAGCGGAGUGCCCGCAAGGGGAGCGGAGAGACAGGUGCUGCAUGGCUGUCGU
rnacentral:rRNA from 1 species